CCUGGCGGCACUAGCGCGGUGGUCCCACCUGACCCCAUGCCGAACUCAGAAGUGAAACGCCGUAGCGCCGAUGGUAGUGUGGGGUCUCCCCAUGUGAGAGUAGGGAACUGCCANGC
rnacentral:rRNA from 1 species